rnacentral:sRNA from 1 species
AUGGCCUGGAUGGCUACCUUUGCCAGCAUCCUACUGAACACUUUUGCCUUAAUCAGUGCAAUGGGCGCGGCGAGUGCCGCUUUGGGUUCUGUCUCUGCAGC